rnacentral:rRNA from 1 species
AUACGUAGGUGGCAAGCGUUGUCCGGAAUUAUUGGGCGUAAAGCGCGCGCAGGUGGUUCCUUAAGUCUGAUGUGAAAGCCCCCGGCUCAACCGGGGAGGGUCAUGGGAAACUGGGGCACUUGAGUGCAGAAGAGGAUAGUGGAAUUCCAAGUGUAGCGGUGAAAUGCGGAGCGAUUUGGAGGAACACCAGUGGCGAAGGCGACUGGAUGGGCUGUAACUGACACUGAGGCGCGAAAGCGUGGGGAGCAAACAGGAUUAGAUACCCUGGUAGUCCACGCCGUAAACGAUGAGUGCUAAGUGUUGGGGGGUUUCCGCCCCUCAGUGCUGCAGCUAACGCAUUAAGCACUCCGCCUGGGGAGUACGGUCGCAAGACUGAAACUCAAAGGAAUUGACGGGG